GGGUGUGAUCAUGCCAGCACUAAAGCACUAGAUCUCAUCAGAACUCCGAAGUUAAGCGUGAUUGGGCGAGAGUAGUACUAAGAUGGGUGACCCCUUGGGAAGUCCUUGUAUUGCACUCC
rfam:Musa acuminata subsp. malaccensis Doubled-haploid Pahang (DH-Pahang) genomic chromosome, chr5